UACGUAGGUGGCAAGCGUUGUCCGGAUUUAUUGGGCGUAAAGGGCGCGCAGGCGGUUCGUUUAGUCCGAGGUGAAAUCUCCCGGCUCAACUGGGAGGGGUCUUUGGAUACUGGCGGACUUGAGGUGAGCAGAGGUGAGCGGAAUUCUGGGUGUAGUGGUGAAAUGCGUAGAUAUCCAGAGGAACACCAGUGGCGAAGGCGGCUCACUGGGCUCCACCUGACGCUGAGGCGCGAAAGCGGGGGGAGCGAACCGG
rnacentral:rRNA from 1 species